AGAACUGCAGCUCAGUGGUACAGCAUCUGCUUCGCAUGCAGAAGGUCUCAGGUUCAAUCCUUGGCACCUCCA